GAUGAACGCUGGCGGCGUGCCUAAUACAUGCAAGUCGAGCGAACGGACGAGAAGCUUGCUCCUCUGAUGUUAGCGGCGGACGGGUGAGUAACACGUGGAUAACCUACCUAUAAGACUGGGAUAACUUCGGGAAACCGGAGCUAAUACCGGAUAAUAUUUUGAACCGCAUGGUUCAAAAGUGAAAGACGGUUUUGCUGUCACUUAUAGAUGGAUCCGCGCUGCAUUAGCUAGUUGGUAAGGUAACGGCUUACCAAGGCAACGAUGCAUAGCCGACCUGAGAGGGUGAUCGGCCACACUGGAACUGAGACACGGUCCAGACUCCUACGGGAGGCAGCAGUAGGGAAUCUUCCGCAAUGGGCGAAAGCCUGACGGAGCAACGCCGCGUGAGUGAUGAAGGUCUUCGGAUCGUAAAACUCUGUUAUUGGGGAAGAACAUAUGUGUAAGUAACUAUGCACGUCUUGACGGUACCUAAUCAGAAAGCCACGGCUAACUACGUG
rnacentral:rRNA from 1 species